GAAUUUCGCGUCUGUCAUGCAUGACCAAUGAGGAGACCCACCCGGAUUGGAUCUAGUGUUCCAACUUAACCCAAAGACCCUUCUUCUGCCCUGGACCACCCUGGAGACCCUCCCGGCCAAAUUCCACCCUGGAUUCAGUCCUUCUGUCCUUCAAUAAAGCUUUGGGCUCCAGCU